rnacentral:tRNA from 1 species
GCCUGGGUGGCCCAGUUGGUUCAGCGUCUGACUUUGGCUCAGGUCAUGCUGUCUCGGUUGGUGGGUUCGAACCCCGUUUCAGGCU